rnacentral:rRNA from 1 species
GCUCAGAGAUGGGUGUGCCUCUUUUGGGGUCGGUUCACAGGUGGUGCAUGGCUGUCGUCAGCUCGUGUCGUGAGAUGUUGGGUUAAGUCCCGCAACGAGCGCAACCCUUGUUCACUGUUGCCACCACGUUAUGGUGGGGACUCAGUGGAGACCGCCGGGGUCAACUCGGAGGAAGGUGGGGAUGACCUCAAGUCAUCAUGCCCCUUAUGUCCAGGGCUUCACACAUGCUACAAUGGCUGGUACAGAGAGUGCCGAGCCUGUGAGGGUGAGCGAAUCUCGGAAAGCCGGUCUCAGUUCGGAUUGGGGUCUGCAACUCGACCUCAUGAAGUCGGAGUCGCUAGUAAUCGCAGAUCAGCAACGCUGCGGUGAAUACGUUCCCGGGGCUUGUACACACCGCCCGUCAAGUCACGAAAGUUGGUAACACCCGAAGCCGGUGGCCUAA